GGCUUCGUGGUCUAGUCGUAUGAUUGUCGCUUCGGGAGUUCCCCACGGUAAACCAUUAUCGUGAUCCAAAAUGUGACAGGUCCCGGGUUCAAAUCCCGGCGAAGCCC